UUCCAAAUCAAUGGUAUCAGAGAUGUUUCUUCUUUAAUGUUCUGAAACAAAAUGACAUGACAAUCUCUUGUCUAGUGCCCACAGCUAAUUUUAAAAGGAAUAUAGGGGCCAACGCUGUGGCUGAGUGAUUAAGUUCCCACGCUCCACUUCAGCGGCCCAGGGUUUCACCAGUUUGGAUCCUGGGUGCGGACUGGUGACUGAUAGCACUGCUCAUCAGGCCAUGCUGAGGCAGCCUCCCACAUAGCACAACUAGAAGAACCUACAACUAGAAUUUGCAGCUAGAGCUGGUUGUGCUGAGAGAGGAACGGUCUCGAAGUAAUCAAAAUGGAAGACUCUGAGGGAAUCAAGGCAACAGUUUAUAUUGCAACAAUUUGGAAGAUGUAAGAGGAAGAUCAGAUUAUCCAACUCUCUGGGGACUCACCUGGGCUGAAAUGUGGAAAAGAGAGAGAGGUGAAUUUGGAGCAGAUCUGAGAAGACUGAGACAAGGGGGUCACGCGUGCUGAUGGAUGAAGAGAAUCAGCGCCUGAAAACUGCCCACAACCUGCCUGACUAAUACUAAGGACACCUGUGGAAGUUGAGGCAAAGCCUGCAAAACAGUUGUAACUGUUUAAGUGCUCACCCUCUUGGCUGAGCUCCACUUCUGGUUGGUCUUCGCUGAGGGUCUUCCAUCUACAGCUACCUGCUUAAAGCAGUGAUGUCGUUUCGUGCGAUAAGACUUUGCUAUGAUCUAUUUGUAGUAUCCCAAGUUGAAAUGCUGCUUUCCGUGCUUCAGGACAUGCAUAAUAGCCCCAAACAGAAAAUGGCGUCCUUCAUACUAGAGAGUUGUUGCUCAUUAGGAAGGGAACAUGCAAAGCACCUGCACCUGGGUGGUACACAGAAGCGGCAAAUCUCUCCCUGUUACAUACCAUUCAUGAGUUGGUCCCAUUUUACUAAUCAUAUGAUUCCAUACUACCUUAUAUAACACAGCCCUUAAUAUGGCAAGAUUCCAUCUAUCUUUGAAAGGUUUAAAGAAUAAGAAAAAAUAUUAGGAAAGUGUGUUUGACAUAGACAAUAUUUAAAUCAGUUGAUCCUUUAAGUUUUAGGGUGGGAGAAAUAGGAACAGAAAAUUAUCCUCCUUUCCUCCCUCCCUCCCUUCUUCCUUCUUCUUCUUUCCUUCCUUCCUUCCCUUUUUUCCUACCUUCCUAUUUUCUUUAAUGAUUUUAUGUUAA
rnacentral:lncRNA from 1 species